GACGAACGCUGGCGGCGUGCUUAACACAUGCAAGUCGAACGAUGAAGCACCAGCUUGCUGGUGUGGAUUAGUGGCGAACGGGUGAGUAACACGUGAGUAACCUGCCCCUCACUCUGGGAUAAGCCUGGGAAACUGGGUCUAAUACUGGAUACGACCGAUCUCCGCAUGGUGUGUUGGUGGAAAGUUUUUGUGGUGGGGGAUGGACUCGCGGCCUAUCAGCUUGUUGGUGGGGUAAUGGCCUACCAAGGCGACGACGGGUAGCCGGCCUGAGAGGGCGACCGGCCACACUGGGACUGAGACACGGCCCAGACUCCUACGAGGGGCAGCAGUGGGGAAUAUUGCACAAUGGGCGAAAGCCUGAUGCAGCGACGCCGCGUGAGGGAUGACGGCCUUCGGGUUGUAAACCUCUUUCACCAGGGACGAAGCUAACGUGACGGUACCUGGAGAAGAAGCACCGGCUAACUACG
rnacentral:rRNA from 1 species